rnacentral:sRNA from 1 species
AAUUGCUGAUCUUUGAACCUCUCUCUCUCUCUCUCUCUCUCUCUCUCUCUCUUUUUUUUGGUGUGUGUUAGGAAUCCAUAAACCUUCAUAGUACUUGGGACCCUGUGUGAGCAGAAGCUUCGAGGGUUGUUCGUAACAUGAUCAUCCAGAUAUGCGGGCGGGAGCUCGUCGUUGAGGGAUUUACUCCAAGCGGCUGGCUCGUCAAUCCAGCAACAAAUGAUGCUCUCUCUCUCGUCUCGUCUGCAAGUAGGAAAUGCAUUCUUAGUCCAGAAGUGGAGGAAAGACAAGAGGAAAAAGAAAAGAAAAAGAAAAGAAAAAAAAAUAAAUAAAAUGCCUCGUUUUAACGGGCGGAUUCUCCCGCUCCCUUCGUCUGUGUUUCUGUGGUUUUUUUUUUCAAGUUCUUUCAUUUCCCGCUUCUCUCUGUCGCGGGUCACAUAGGAGGGAUAUGUUUUUGUUCUUGGUUGCGGGUUUUUGUCUGAUGCCAUAGAGAUCUCGACGUAGGAUAUACUAUCCAAAGACAAGCAGGCUAGCCACGCGGAUCGACAGACCAUGAUCCCAUACGUACGGCGUAGAGCGAGAACACUGAGCCUGCUGCUGUAUUGUUGAAUGUUGCCGCUAUGCUCGAUCUAAUUUAGCGGCGGCGUCAACGAACCUCAAUCCCUGCGUGCCUGGCUCAGGUUGAUUUAGGUUUACUGGUCGUCGAUCCUGGUGCCUUGCUGAUGAUGAGGAGAUCUCACCUGAAGGCUAACUAUUUUGCAAACCUUCCGAUGAGCUGGACAGAGCGGAGGACUUGAUCUUAUACCAAAGGUUGAUACUACUAUGUAUGUAUGUAUGUAUGUAGAGUACCUUAAGAAGCAGCUCUUACCUCGGUGCUCGAUGAUAAUACCGUUCAAGGGAAUAAAUAAAGAAAGAAAGAAAUAAGUAGUUAGUUUAACGUCCAGGAACGGUGCAGUCA